GACGAACGCUGGCGGCGUGCUUAACACAUGCAAGUCGAACGAAGUGGCGAACGGGUGAGUAACGCGUAAUCAACCUGCCCUUCAGCGGGGGAUAACAGUUGGAAACGACUGCUAAUACCGCAUACUGAAGGAGGGGAUUGGGUCGGAUUAGCUAGUUGGAGGGGUAACGGCCCACCAAGGCGAAGAUCAGUAGCCGGUCUGGGAGGAGGAACCGGCACAUUGGGACUGGGGAACGGGCCAGACUCCUACGGGAUGGAACAGGUGGGGAACUUCCGCCAUUGACGAAAGUCUUACGGAGCAACGCCGCGGGAGUGAUGACGGCCUUCGGGUUGUAAAGCUCUGUUAAUCGGGACGCGGUACCGGAAUAGAAAGCCACGGCUAACUACGUGCCAGCAGCCGCGGUAAUAC
rnacentral:rRNA from 1 species